UCUUGAACAAUGGGCGCAAGCCUGAUCCAGCCAUGCCGCGUGAGUGAUGAAGGCCYUAGGGUYGKAAAGCUCUUUCKCCAGGGAWGAUAAUGACWGUACCUGGUAAAGAAACCCCGGCUAACUCCGUGCCAGCAGCCGCGGUAAUACGGAGGGGGUUAGCGUUGUUCGGAAUUACUGGGCGUAAAGCGCGCGUAGGCGGAUURGAARGUYGGGGGUGAAAUCCCGGGGCUCAACCCCGGAACUGCCUCCAAAACUCCCRGUCUUGAGUUCGAGAGAGGUGAGUGGAAUUCCGAGKGUAGAGGUGAAAUUCGUAGAUAUUCGGAGGAACACCAGUGGCGAAGGCGGCUCACUGGCUCGAUACUGACGCUGAGGUGCGAAAGYGUGGGGAGCAAACAGGAUUAGAUACCCUGGUAGUCCACACCRUAAACGAUGAAUGCCAGUCGUCGGGSAGCAURCUGUUCGGUGACACACCUAACGGAUUAAGCAUUCCGCCUGGGGAGUACGGUCGCAA
rnacentral:rRNA from 1 species